CAUGAGCCAGCCUGCAGUACCGCACCAUCAGCACUUUGGGUGGCAUCGACCCAAUCAUGCCACCGCCAACGUCAGCAGAACUGAUCCAUUGGACUUCGACCCAUAGCGAUGCGCCGAGUCAGCAGUUAACAUUAUUAAAUAUCACCGAUCGACCAGCGAUACGGUUCAAUUAGUUAGUGCAAGUAGUAGAGAGUGGUUCGUUCUAGGAUAAUAAUCAUUUAGUAUAUUUAUGUUAAAAUAAUAAUUAGUGAAUAAAAGUUUUUUUUUAAGAGACCCCGAGGUCUAAACACUUUAUUGGCGCAGCCGUCCGGAGUCAGCUGAGUGAUUGUGCGUAUUAACAGUGGAAAUACGAUUUUGAUCGUUAAAGUGAUUCCGCGUAAGCAUCGACGGACUGAAAGUGAAAACUACCGUUUGAGUUGAGGAUCCCCCGGCGCACAACAUCUGGAGCACCAGCAACGUCAGCCCGAACUACAAGGACACGACAGCAUAAAACCGCCCUCGUACCAUGGAUCCGAGUAUUACCCUUAACCAAGCGGAAAAACUCUCACACUUCCUCAAAAUUCUUUCAGAAAGUAACCCAGUCAUUGCAACAUAAAUUACCAUAGAUCUUAUUUCUCUUUUUAGGACGACGAAUACAACCAAAAGACAGACACACUGACGAACGCAGGCCAUCAAAUUUCUUUUCAGGUGUUAACAAUAACAAAAAAAAAACAA